CUUGCUCCUGAUGUUACGGCGGANGGGUGAGUACACGUGGGUACCUGCCUGUAAGACUGGGAUAACUCCGGGAAACCGGGGCUAAUACCGGAUGGUUGUUUGAACCGCAUGGUUCAGACAUAAAAGGUGGCUUCGGCUACCACUUACAGAUGGACCCGCGGCGCAUUAGCUAGUUGGUGAGGUAACGGCUCACCAAGGCGACGAUGCGUAGCCGACCUGAGAGGGUGAUCGGCCACACUGGGACUGAGACACGGCCCAGACUCCUACGGGAGGCAGCAGUAGGGAAUCUUCCGCAAUGGACGAAAGUCUGACGGAGCAACGCCGCGUGAGUGAUGAAGGUUUUCGGAUCGUAAAGCUCUGUUGUUAGGGAAGAACAAGUGCCGUUCAAAUAGGGCGGCACCUUGACGGUACCUAACCAGAAAGCCACGGCUAACUACGUGCCA
rnacentral:rRNA from 1 species